AUCAAUCAAGCAGUUAAGCAAAUUAAAUCACAACUCAGAAAUCACAACUGAAGGUAAUCAAUUCAUAUUACAAAUAUAUUCAUGGCUUUGAAUUAACCUCUAGCCAAAAUAAAUUUAGUUACACAUUAUUCUCAAAUUAAACCAAAAGUUAAACAUGAGUUUGAGAAGAUAAAACCAAGAAAAAUGGAGUGAAGCCUCUUCUUUUCUCCUUCUGCUCCCUGCCGUGCCUGUCCCUUCUUUCUUUGCCUUCCGUCAGUCUCUCCUAUCUCUCUGCCUUCUGCGCCUUCUGUGCUCCCUCUCUCCCGCACGUCUUCUCUACCUUGGUUCCCCCCUGAUCUACCUUUCACGCUGCCAAAGGCAGCUUUUAUUCUCCUCCCGUCACUCCUCUCUCUCUGCUGUCCUUCUUUUUUUUCUGUCCCGCACUGACUUUCCUUUUUCAUGCUUGCUGUUCUCCUGACCUCUGACCUUGCCUUAUUUUUCUAUUUUAUUAUUUUCUUUUCAAACCACCCUCCACUCUCUCCACUCACUUCCUUUCUUUUUGCUUUACUUCCAUCCCAUUAUUUGCUGUCUGCCGUGUCUCUCUUCUUCUACAAAACAUGAAUCAUGAUGAUGUUUCAAACAUCAUCAUGACUUAUCAUUAUUAUUUUUCUUUUUUUAAUUUUAUUUAAAAGCUGAUCUACACAGACAGUUUUGACGAAUUUAUUACAUAAAAUUUCAUUUGUUCUAUUUUUAUUUUCUUUGCAUAACAAAUCCUACAAACACAAAAAUAACGUAAAUAGCUCAAAAAUAUAAGGAACUAACUCAGAAAAGACGAGUGAAUUCGAAGUAAAAAUAUAUAUAAAUAUGAUCCGAUCAAAUACCCCCACACUUAACUUUUGCUAGUCCUCGAGCAAAACAAAGAAAACAAGAACAAGAAGUAACAAGAAAAACAUGAGCUUCCCCCUAUGUGACCCUCAUAGAAUUUCCUUUAAGAAAACAAAUCAUCAAGAACCAUAGUUAGCACCAAACAAGCUAAUCUAAGUGCAUCUUCCUUAUUAAAAUAUUAGCAGUAAUCUUUGAAUCAUCCAUGAAGUGUAGUGUGUGAGAUAGCCAUGCUAAUGCAAUUUCAAGUUUUUUAUUUUUAAAAUCAUCAUAUGCAAACUAGCGACCAUCUCACGGGAUAUGCACUCAAUCACACAUGUGUUUAGUUUUAAUGUGUUUCGCUCAAAGAAUCAAAUGUGAAAU
rnacentral:lncRNA from 1 species